CCCUUAGAUGUCCUGGGCCGCACGCGUGCUACACUGACUGGUGCAUCAAGCCCCCUGGCCCGAAAGGUGCUGGGAAAUCUUUAAAUGCCAGUCGUGCUAGGGAUUGAUCUUUGUAAUUUUGGAUCAUGAACGAGGAAUUCCUUGUAAGCAUAUGUCACCAACGUGUGCUGAAUACAUCCCUGCCGUUUGUACACACCGCCCGUCGUUUCUUCCGACUGAUACUCAUUGUGAGUUGCAAGGACCCUUUAUUGGGAAAGUGCUGCAAAUGCUUUGUAUUGGAGGAAGAAAAAGUCGUAACA
rnacentral:rRNA from 1 species